GCGGCCGUGUUUGUAUCUCUGUCGCGUGUUUACGUGUAAGUGCGUGCGUGCGUGCGUUGCACUCGUUUUCGUUUAAAGCUGUUAGAGCAGCAGCAGCGCAAGCAGCAGCAAUAGCAGCUGCCUUCACACAUAUAUAUAUAUAUAUAUAUAAAGACGCGUUUAUCCGUUGUAUUAUGUUUUGUUCUUUUCUUUAUCCGUCGUAUCCUCUCUAACACAUCGAGUUUACAAUGGAAGAAAAGGAAACGACACUUUAGAGUGAGAGGAUAGUUGGUUCGCUCGUUGGUUGUUUACUCGCGCGUGUGAAUAAGUGGGAUGAAGAUGAUCGAUCGUUGUUUUCCUCCUAUUCUUUUUUUCCUUCUUUAAAAAUUAAUCCUGGUGAAGUUGAUACGUGAAAAAAAAAAAAAAA